rnacentral:rRNA from 1 species
GGGAAACAGGUUAAUAUUCCUGUACUUGGUGUUACUGCGAAGGGGGGACGGAGAAGGCUAUGUUGGCCGGGCGACGGUUGUCCCGGUUUAAGCGUGUAGGCUGGUUUUCCAGGCAAAUCCGGAAAACUAAGGCUGAGGCGUGAUGACGAGGCACUACGGUGCUGAAGCAACAAAUGCCCUGCUUCCAGGAAAAGCCUCUAAGCAUCAGGUAACAUCAAAUCGUACCCCAAACCGACACAGGUGGUCAGGUAGAGAAUACCAAGGCGCUUGAGAGAACUCGGGUGAAGGAACUAGGCAAAAUGGUGCCGUAACUUCGGGAGAAGGCACGCUGAUAUGUAGGUGAAGUCCCUCGCGGAUGGAGCUGAAAUCAGUCGAAGAUACCAGCUGGCUGCAACUGUUUAUUAAAAACACAGCACUGUGCAAACACGAAAGUGGACGUAUACGGUGUGACGCCUGCCCGGUGCCGGAAGGUUAAUUGAUGGGGUCAGCGCAAGCGAAGCUCUUGAUCGAAGCCCCGGUAAACGGCGGCCGUAACUAUAACGGUCCUAAGGUAGCGAAAUUCCUUGUCGGGUAAGUUCCGACCUGCACGAAUGGCGUAAUGAUGGCCAGGCUGUCUCCACCCGAGACUCAGUGAAAUUGAACUCGCUGUGAAGAUGCAGUGUACCCGCGGCAAGACGGAAAGACCCCGUGAACCUUUACUAUAGCUUGACACUGAACAUUGAGCCUUGAUGUGUAGGAUAGGUGGGAGGCUUUGAAGUGUGGACGCCAGUCUGCAUGGAGCCGACCUUGAAAUACCACCCUUUAAUGUUUGAUGUUCUAACGUUGACCCGUAAUCCGGGUUGCGGACAGUGUCUGGUGGGUAGUUUGACUGGGGCGGUCUCCUCCUAAAGAGUAACGGAGGAGCACGAAGGUUGGCUAAUCCUGGUCGGACAUCAGGAGGUUAGUGCAAUGGCAUAAGCCAGCUUGACUGCGAGCGUGACGGCGCGAGCAGGUGCGAAAGCAGGUCAUAGUGAUCCGGUGGUUCUGAAUGGAAGGGCCAUCGCUCAACGGAUAAAAGGUACUCCGGGGAUAACAGGCUGAUACCGCCCAAGAGUUCAUAUCGACGGCGGUGUUUGGCACCUCGAUGUCGGCUCAUCACAUCCUGGGGCUGAAGUAGGUCCCAAGGGUAUGGCUGUUCGCCAUUUAAAGUGGUACGCGAGCUGGGUUUAGAACGUCGUGAGACAGUUCGGUCCCUAUCUGCCGUGGGCGCUGGAGAACUGAGGGGGGCUGCUCCUAGUACGAGAGGACCGGAGUGGACGCAUCACUGGUGUUCGGGUUGUCAUGCCAAUGGCACUGCCCGGUAGCUAAAUGCGGAAGAGAUAAGUGCUGAAAGCAUCUAAGCACGAAACUUGCCCCGAGAUGAGUUCUCCCUGACUCCUUGAGAGUCCUGAAGGAACGUUGAAGACGACGACGUUGAUAGGCCGGGUGUGUAAGCGCAGCGAUGCGUUGAGCUAACCGGUACUAAUGAACCGUGAGGCUUAACCUUACAACGCCGAAGGUGUUU